rnacentral:lncRNA from 1 species
AGCCAGGUGACUAGCUCAAUCAAUCAAUGGGAUGCCAGAGAUAAAGCCAGGUCUUUAAGGAAGAAUGGGAGCCUCAUUACUCUUCCACAGAGAGCUCUUCCACUGUCUGCAGGCAGAGAGGUCUGAGGCCUCAGGGGCUGGAGGAAACGUAGAGUGGAAGGAAUGUGGGUCCCUGAAUCACUGCCUUUGGGAAGAGCAUCCGCUGCAGCCAGGGGUGCUGGCACUGGACCCUUACAUAGUGCCAUGGAGGGUUUCCUCUCAUUCAUCAGGAGUAAGAGCUCUAUGGCAGUCAGACCUCCACAGGCCUGGCUCUGCUCUGACCUGCUGGUUUUGAACCCAGGCUGGUCUGGCUGAAUUCACAGCCUGCACAUCUGUAACUUGUAGGUCAUCACUUCCUUCCGUGUCUACAGCACCGAGAUAUUGCAAGAAUCAAAUCAGAGAAUACGGAUGUGAGAGAACUCAGCAGAUGUUUAUAGCAGGCUUACUAUGUACAUGGCACUGUGUUAAAUGAUGAUGAUUCAAAGAAAACCAACCAACCUAUCUACCAACCAACCAACCAACCAACCAACCAACUAACCAGCUGACUAAACAAGCAAUCACCCAACCUACUAACCAGCCUACAAACCAACUGGAUGAGCAACAGUGGAGACCACGGUUUUCUUGGGGAGACACCCUCACUGGGAA